UACGGGGGGGGCAAGCGUUGUUCGGAAUUACUGGGCGUAAAGGGCUCGUAGGCGGCCAACUAAGUCAUACGUGAAAUCCCUCGGCUUAACCGGGGAACUGCGUCUGAUACUGGAUGGCUUGAGUUCGGGAGAGGGAUGCGGAAUUCCAGGUGUAGCGGUGGAAUGCGCAGAUAUCAGGAGGAACACCGGUGGCGAAGGCGGGUCUCUGGGCAGUAACUGACGCUGAGGAGCGAAAGCGUGGGGAGCGAACAGG
rnacentral:rRNA from 1 species